CAAGUGGAGGAUUUUGGAUUCAAAUCCAGGCUAGUGUUGAUGAUUUUGACACAUAAAUUAAGUUUUCACUGAUGUGAAUAACACUGCAAUUUUUUCCCCAUUACAAUGCACAAAAUGAAACUUCUCUGUCAGCUGCUAUCUGAGUUUUACUUCCCUUUCUGUGGUUUCUUUUCCUUUCUCUGAACAGUGUAAGGCACACACUCAAAGUGAAGUGACUCCACUGCAAGCCUAUGCAAAGAUGAUGCUUGAACAUAAACUGCAUGGCUUGGUAGGAAACAGCUCACCAAAGAAUUCCUCCGAAUGUAGGAAAAUUUUCUAAUUGUGACCCUAAAGUCUGGGUAACGUCAUAUAAGUGGCCAUGAUUUAUGGAAAUCAGAAAAGUGAACAUACUCCAACUAACAACUGUCUAAGAUAGAAGACAAGAAGACACUUGGUGAGCAUGAAGCUAUGACUGCGUGAGGAAAACUCAGACCAGCAGUGCCAAAGCUCUCAAAACGUAUGCACAUUUGACUUUCAGAAGGAAGGAACCUUCUCCUUCCUUACUAUGCUAACUUGUGUCAGUUUUCUGCAAAAGGCCACAGAGCUUUCAUGGGAUACAAGUGGAGACCAUCACAGACCCCAUAAACCCAUGUCUACAACUGCAGCAUAAGAUUUCUUUAGUUUCUGCAUCUGAAAAUAAGAAUUAAAGUAUCUAUUUCUCAA